rnacentral:rRNA from 1 species
UACGUAGGGUGCGAGCGUUGUCCGGAAUUAUUGGGCGUAAAGAGCUCGUAGGCGGUCUGUCGCGUCGGUCGUGAAAACUUGGGGCUUAACCCUGAGCUUGCGGUCGAUACGGGCAUUACUGGAGUUCGGCAGGGGAGACUGGAAUUCCUGGUGUAGCGGUGAAAUGCGCAGAUAUCAGGAGGAACACCGGUGGCGAAGGCGGGUCUCUGGGCCGAUACUGACGCUGAGGAGCGAAAGCGUGGGGAGCGAACAGG